UUAGCUCGGCUUUCCUCUCCUCCCGCGGUGCUGCCUCCCUCCCGGCCGCACCUCCUGGCCUGUCGCACUCUGCCCCCGCGGCAGUCCCUUGCUCUACUCCCCCGCCGCGGUCCUCUUCCGACACUUCUGCCGCCGCGCCCCACGCGGCGGCUGGCCAUCUCCACUGCCGAUUACCGCCCCCAAUCCGCCGCUUACCACCAGUCCACCACACAACCCGUCCUGCCUUACCCCGGCUCCCCGGCAGCCUCCUGAUCCACUCCCCUGAUCCUUCCUGCUCCAUCGCGUCCCGGCCUCGUGUUCCACUGCGCCUCCUACUUGCCCCGCUCCCGGCCCACCCCGCGGACGCCUACUCGCACAGUCGCACCACGCUGACGGACUCCAGUGCCCGCCACACUUCAGUUCCGUCGCCAACACAUUGUCGAGGACUGAGGACAAGAAGGGCAUCAUCUGCGACCUGAAGCUGAAAGUAUUGUUUUGACUGAGCAAAAGCACAUCCGAUUCGUGGAGGUCGUGAAGAUUCUUCCAUCUGUGACUGGGGACUUAAGCAAACUUUUCAACUUCUUCAGUUCACUGCAAAUUAACAGUGCCCUCCAUAGAUUGUGCCUAAAGCUCCAAGAAGACUAACACAGCCACUGAUCAUCACACGAAGAAAAAUAUUCAGUUUCAGGUCUCCCCAGGAAAUGGAUGUCUUGCCUUUGCCAAAGCGACCUACCAGGGACUGGUCGGAGCUGCCUUUUGACGCCCUCUAUUCAAUUUUUGAAAAUCUAGGGGUCGUUGAUCUUCUCAUGGGUGCGGGCCUUGUUUGCCACUCAUGGCUGGAGGUGGCCAAGGAGCCUGAUAAUCGUGCACAUGCAGCACCACGAGAUCGUUGGCAUGAACGCGAAUGAUUUGCGGGCAAUGUUGAACGUGUCUAUCGACCGUUCUGACGGGCGGAUGGAGGUGUUGUGGGAGAGUGGUUUCUUACUAAUAAGCUCCUCAAGUACAUAGCGGACAGGGAUAGAUAUCUGUUUUAGAAGGUUUAUGUCAUAGAUUUCAUACCAUCGUUAUAUGAGGUCAAAUCAACUGUUGUUAGAGUGAGGAAUUUCGAUGCAAAAAUGUCGCCCAAUCUGAGGCACCUUGACCUUGUGAAGUGCUAUAGGAUCACGAAAGAAGGAUUGGCCGAGGCGAUGCCAAGGUUUCCUCUGCUGGAGAAGAUCGUGCUUUGGGGUUACCGAAGAAGUGUCACAGGGGAUUUGUAUCAAGUCAUUGGUAAAACAUGCAAUCAACUCGAGUGCCUCGAGCUAUGCCAUGGGAGCAGGGAACAGACGCUUGGGAUUGCGGCACUGCAUGGGCUGCGAGACCUUGCCCUCAUACGCUGCAGCGUGAACGUCGAAGGGCUGGCAUUUAUCAUUGAUAGCUGCCCUCUCCUGGAGCGUCUUCACGUGAGGGGUUGCUCCGAGAUCGUGGGCGAGCCAGUCCUGAUGGCCAAGCGUGCCAGGAUCAAGGCAAUGUCGGUUCAAAUCUAUGCCCGCUAUAACUGGGACUAAGUGGUUUGUAUUUCUCCAUUUAAGAUGUACGCUGAGGGGCAACUAAAUUUUGGUGACAGAGUGUAACGAACCGGAGAGGAGGGGAUCGGAGUAGGUGAGGGAGAGCAAGAGAGAGACUUGGAGAGGAAGAAGGGAGAUUGCUUCCAGAGGAAGGAUUAGGAAGAGUUGACAGUCUGUUACAUCGCAUGCCCUGUCACAGGCGGCUGGCUGCCCCUUUAUCA